rnacentral:lncRNA from 1 species
GUCGUAAAGAAGCUUGGCUGCAGUCACCGCUCAGCACACAGUCUCCCUUCAAGUGGAAAAAUAUCUCUCACUAAUUAAUGUAACUCACCAAGGAAGACAUAUCUAUUCCAAGCUCUGAGUCAGAGGAGAGAAAUAUGAGCUGCAUGCGGGAACUGAGUCUACACCGAGCGUUGUCGUGCACGUGUGUGACAGCGACUUGGAGGAGGAGGAGGAUCCAAAGACUUCCCCAAAGCCAAAAAUCAUCCAGACCCGGCGUCCUGGCCUGCCACCCUCCGUGUCCAACUGAGCACGUCCAUGAUAACAUGCAUCUCCUCUUAUCAUGCUUUUUCUCCCUUGUUCGUCCAAAAAUUAAUUGCCUUGAAGUCCCUGGGUGUUUGGUUGUUUGAGAAUCCUUCCUUGUAAUUAAGCCUCUCGGACAAAAGGGCUAGGAAAAGGUGAUAUGUCUCCCAGUCAACUCAUACCCAUUAACCAGAGUCCAUUAUUUAGAAAGUUCUAGACAAAGGGUAGUAUUUUCUUAUUAAACAAUCAGUACAGCCU